rnacentral:rRNA from 1 species
UACGGGGGGGGGCAAGCGUUGUUCGGAAUUACUGGGCGUAAAGGGCGCGUAGGCGGCCAACUAAGUCGGAUGUGAAAUCCCCAGGCUUAACCUGGGAACUGCAUCCGAUACUGGAUGGCUUGAAUCCGGGGAGAGGGAUGCGGAAUUCCAGGUGUAGCGGUGAAAUGCGUAGAUAUCUGGAGGAACACCGGUGGCGAAGGCGGCAUCCUGGACCGG